UACGUAGGGGGGCAAGCGUUGUCCGGAAUCAUUGGGCGUAAAGCGCGUGUAGGCGGCCCCGGUAAGUCCGCUGUGAAAAGUCCAGGGCUCAACCCUGGAAUGCCGGUGGAUACUGUCGGGCUCGAGUCCGGAAGAGGCGAGUGGAAUUCCUGGUGUAGCGGUGGAAUGCGCAGAUAUCAGGAGGAACACCUGCGGUGUAGACGGCUUACUGGACGGUAACUGACGCUGAGGCACGAAAGCGUGGGUAGCAAACAGG
rnacentral:rRNA from 1 species